GGUACUUGCAUUCUGCUCUCAGCUUGCUGACUAGCAUUUGCAGUGAUGCCUUACAAAGACUGCUGACCUCAGCUUGAUUCAGUAAGUUGGAUUCUAAUCUGUCUAUUUCCACUACAGUGUUUAUACAUGAUUUCACAUACUACGGUUGGACAAGAAGGAACUACUAGGACAGGACAGCAUGAGCCGGAAUCAACUGUAUCAUUGGAAUAUGUAUUUUAGCAACUGACUCUCCUAUGAAAGCAACAGUAAAUUAACAGAGGGUCAAACAACUCAAGAUUCUGUCAGUAAUUAGUUGUUGUGAUGUAUUCAUUGACUUGACUAUCCUGAAGGUUACCCUGACAGCUGGAUUCUGAGUGAGUUCUUCAGGUUGCUUGAGGAAAGGCUAACAUCUGAGUCAGUGAGCACUAUGGCUGACUCUUGGAUAUCAUCUGUAACCCUAUUCCCUUGACAAUGAAUAACACUGAAUUCAAUUAAAAUCUGACCCAAACAAGAAGGAGCCUGAAGCUACAGUCUGUCUACAUGAAAAACAAAUUGGGAACUCAGUAGGAAAAGACACUUGCCUCCUAACCUGACCACCAGGGUUCUAUUCCCUAGACCAGCAUGGUUGAAGAGAAGACAAACUCCCAUAAGGUCUCCUCUGGCUUCAACACUGUCCUCAGGGUCUGCAUCUGGCCACACAUACACAUGUU
rnacentral:lncRNA from 1 species